rnacentral:rRNA from 1 species
AAUAUUGCGCAAUAGAGGAAACUCUGACGCAGCAACGCCGCGUGCGGGAUGACGGCCUUCGUGGUUGUAAACCGCUUUCAGCAGGGACGAAACUGACGGUACCUGCAGAAGAAGCCCCGGCUAACUACGUGCCAGCAGCCGCGGUAAUACGUAGGGGGCAAGCGUUGUCCGGAUUCAUUGGGCGUAAAGAGCUCGUAGGCGGUUCAGUAAGUCAGGUGUUAAAGCUCCGAGCUCAACUCGGAGAGGCCAUCUGAUACUGCUGUGACUAGAAUCCAGUAGGGGAGCGUGGAAUUCCUGGUGUAGCGGUGAAAUGCGCAGACAUCAGGAGGAACACCAGCGGCGAAGGCGGCGCUCUGGGCUGAGAUUGACGCUGAGGAGCGAAAGUGUGGGUAGCAAAC